UACGGAGGGUCCAAGCGUUAUCCGGAUUUAUUGGGUUUAAAGGGUCCGUAGGCGGAAAAUUAAGUCAGUGGUGAAAUCCUACAGCUCAACUGUAGAACUGCCAUUGAUACUGAUUUUCUUGAAUAUAGUUGAAGUGGGCGGAAUGUGUAGUGUAGCGGUGAAAUGCAUAGAUAUUACACAGAACGCCAAUUGCGAAGGCAGCUCACUAAGCUAUUAUUGACGCUGAGGGACGAAAGCGUGGGGAGCGAACAGG
rnacentral:rRNA from 1 species